GGGGGCGAACCGGCUUCGACGAGAGCACUGACGCCACUGGUUGCAGGCCGAGGUUGCCGGCACCUCGUUAAACAUCGGCAAAAAAACAAAAGACAAUAGCGAAAGCUAUGCCUUGGCUGCUUAAUCAGUAGCCCGUCCCCAGGAUCCGCUCCCACCGGGUUUUGAAGGGCGCCAUUAUGUGGGAUGCUCGUUUGACUGAGACCCUGGGUCAAACGCUAAGACACACAGUGUCUGGCCAGACGGACCCUGUCUUGGAGGUCACCGACUGGCGAGAAACAAACCAAGGCUAAGCCUGUAGUAAUCGUGGUCGAUGGUUUUCGGACGCGGGUUCGAUUCCCGCCGCCUCCACAA
rnacentral:tmRNA from 1 species